GACGAACGCUGGCGGCGUGCUUAACACAUGCAAGUCGAACGGGCCUUGUCCCCUUUUUUUUGGGGGUGGGGUUAGUGGCGAACGGGUGAGUAACACGUGAGUAACCUGCCCCUCACUUCUGGAUAACCGCUUGAAAGGGUGGCUAAUACGGGGUGUUCUGGCCUGCUCGCAUGGGUGGGUUUGGCAAGCUUCGCCCGGUUUGGUUGUUUUGGUUGGGGAUGGGCUCGCGGCCUCUCAGCUUGUUGGUGGGGUGAUGGCCUGCCAAGGCUUUGACGGGUAGCAGGCCUGAGAGGGUGGGCGGUCACACUGGGACUGAGACACGGCCCAGACUCCUACGGGAGGCAGCAGUGGGGAAUAUUGCACAAUGGGCGCAAGCCUGAUGCAGCGACGCCGCGUGAGGGAUGGAGGCCUUCGGGUUGUGAACCUCUUUCGCCAGUGAAGAAGGUCCUGCUCUUUGUGGUGGGGUUGACGGUAGCUGGGUUAAUGAAGCGCCGGCUAACUACGUG
rnacentral:rRNA from 1 species